GACGAACGCUGGCGGCGUGCUUAACACAUGCAAGUCGAACGGAAAGGCCCUGCUUUUGUGGGGUGCUCGAGUGGCGAACGGGUGAGUAACACGUGAGUAACCUGCCCUUGACUUUGGGAUAAAUUCAGGAAACUGGGGCUAAUACCGGAUAGGAGCUCCUGCUGCAUGGUGGGGGUUGGAAAGUUUCGGCGGUUGGGGAUGGACUCGCGGCUUAUCAGCUUGUUGGUGGGGUAGUGGCUUACCAAGGCUUUGACGGGUAGCCGGCCUGAGAGGGUGACCGGCCACAUUGGGACUGAGAUACGGCCCAGACUCCUACGGGAGGCAGCAGUGGGGAAUAUUGCACAAUGGGCGGAAGCCUGAUGCAGCAACGCCGCGUGCGGGAUGACGGCCUUCGGGUUGUAAACCGCUUUCGCCUGUGACGAAGCGUGAGUGACGGUAAUGGGUAAAGAAGCACCGGCUAACUACGUGCCGGCAGCCGCGGUGAUACGUAGGGUGCGAGCGUUGUCCGGAUUUAUUGGGCGUAAAGGGCUCGUAGGUGGUUGAUCGCGUCGGAAGUGUAAUCUUGGGGCUUAACCCUGAGCGUGCUUUCGAUACGGGUUGACUUGAGGAAGGUAGGGGAGAAUGGAAUUCCUGGUGGAGCGGUGGAAUGCGCAGAUAUCAGGAGGAACACCAGUGGCGAAGGCGGUUCUCUGGGCCUUUCCUGACGCUGAGGAGCGAAAGCGUGGGGAGCGAACAGGCUUAGAUACCCUGGUAGUCCACGCUGUAAACGGUGGGUACUAGGUGUGGGGUCCAUUCCACGGGUUCCGUGCCGUAGCUAACGCUUUAAGUACCCCGCCUGGGGAGUACGGCCGCAAGGCUAAAACUCAAAGGAAUUGACGGGGCCCCGCACAAGCGGCGGAGCAUGCGGAUUAAUUCGAUGCAACGCGUAGAACCUUACCUGGGUUUGACAUGGAUCGGGAGUGCUCAGAGAUGGGUGUGCCUCUUUUGGGGUCGGUUCACAGGUGGUGCAUGGCUGUCGUCAGCUCGUGUCGUGAGAUGUUGGGUUAAGUCCCGCAACGAGCGCAACCCUUGUUCACUGUUGCCAGCACGUUAUGGUGGGGACUCAGUGGAGACCGCCGGGGUCAACUCGGAGGAAGGUGGGGAUGACGUCAAGUCAUCAUGCCCCUUACGUCCAGGGCUUCACGCAUGCUACAAUGGCUGGUACAGAGAGUGGCGAGCCUGUGAGGGUGAGCGAAUCUCGGAAAGCCGGUCUCAGUUCGGAUUGGGGUCUGCAACUCGACCUCAUGAAGUCGGAGACGCUAGUAAUCGCAGAUCAGCAACGCUGCGGUGAAUACGUUCCCGGG
rnacentral:rRNA from 1 species